GGGUUGUGAGGUUAAGCGACUAAGCGUACACGGUGGAUGCCCUGGCAGUCAGAGGCGAUGAAGGGCGUGCUAAUCUGCGAUAAGCGCCGGUAAGGUGAUAUGAACCGUUAUAACCGGCGAUACCCGAAUGGGGAAACCCAGUGUGAUUCGUCACACUAUCAUUAACUGAAUCCAUAGGUUAAUGAGGCGAACCGGGGGAACUGAAACAUCUAAGUACCCCGAGGAAAAGAAAUCAACCGAGAUUCCCCCAGUAGCGGCGAGCGAACGGGGAGGAGCCCAGAGCCUGAAUCAGCAUGUGUGUUAGUGGAAGCGUCUGGAAAGGCGCGCGAUACAGGGUGACAGCCCCGUACACAAAAGCGCAUAUGCUGUGAGCUCGAUGAGUAGGGCGGGACACGUGGUAUCCUGUCUGAAUAUGGGGGGACCAUCCUCCAAGGCUAAAUACUCCUGACUGACCGAUAGUGAACCAGUACCGUGAGGGAAAGGCGAAAAGAACCCCGGCGAGGGGAGUGAAAAAGAACCUGAAACCGUGUACGUACAAGCAGUGGGAGCCCCACCACUAAGCCAGUGGUGAACUCCACAUACGCAUCCUUUGCUGAGGAGACGGUUAACGGAGCGAAAGCGACGUUCAACCUCAAAAGAAGCAGAGGGGGCUUAGUGGUGGGGUGACUGCGUACCUUUUGUAUAAUGGGUCAGCGACUUAUAUUCUGUAGCAAGGUUAACUGUAUAGGGGAGCCGGAGGGAAACCGAGUCUUAACCGGGCGUUAAGUUGCAGGGUAUAGACCCGAAACCCGGUGAUCUAGCCAUGGGCAGGUUGAAGGUUGGGUAACACUAACUGGAGGACCGAACCGACUAAUGUUGAAAAAUUAGCGGAUGACCUGUGGCUGGGGGUGAAAGGCCAAUCAAACCGGGAGAUAGCUGGUUCUCCCCGAAAGCUAUUUAGGUAGCGCCUCGUGAAUUCAUCUCCGGGGGUAGAGCACUGUUUCGGCUAGGGGGCCAUCCCGGCUUACCAACCCGAUGCAAACUGCGAAUACCGGAGAAUGUUAUCACGGGAGACACACGGCGGGUGCUAAUGUCCGUCGUGAAGAGGGAAACAACCCAGACCGCCAGCUAAGGUCCCAAAGUCAUGGUUAAGUGGGAAACGAUGUGGGAAGGCCCAGACAGCCAGGAUGUUGGCUUAGAAGCAGCCAUCAUUUAAAGAAAGCGUAAUAGCUCACUGGUCGAGUCGGCCUGCGCGGAAGAUGUAACGGGGCUAAACCAUGCACCGAAGCUGCGGCAGCGACACCGUGUGUUGUUGGGUAGGGGAGCGUUCUGUAAGCCUGUGAAGGUGUGCUGUGAGGCAUGCUGGAGGUAUCAGAAGUGCGAAUGCUGACAUAAGUAACGAUAAAGCGGGUGAAAAGCCCGCUCGCCGGAAGACCAAGGGUUCCUGUCCAACGUUAAUCGGGGCAGGGUGAGUCGACCCCUAAGGCGAGGCCGAAAGGCGUAGUCGAUGGGAAACGGGUUAAUAUUCCCGUACUUGGUGUUACUGCGAAGGGGGGACGGAGAAGGCUAUGUUGGCCGGGCGACGGUUGUCCCGGUUUAAGCGUGUAGGUAUGUGUUCCAGGUAAAUCCGGUUCACUUUAACACUGAGGCGUGACGACGAGGCACUACGGUGCUGAAGCAACAAAUGCCCUGCUUCCAGGAAAAGCCUCUAAGCAUCAGGUAACAUCAAAUCGUACCCCAAACCGACACAGGUGGUCAGGUAGAGAAUACCAAGGCGCUUGAGAGAACUCGGGUGAAGGAACUAGGCAAAAUGGUGCCGUAACUUCGGGAGAAGGCACGCUGACACGUAGGUGAAGUGAUUUACUCACGGAGCUGAAGUCAGCCGAAGAUACCAGCUGGCUGCAACUGUUUAUUAAAAACACAGCACUGUGCAAACACGAAAGUGGACGUAUACGGUGUGACGCCUGCCCGGUGCCGGAAGGUUAAUUGAUGGGGUCAGCGCAAGCGAAGCUCCUGAUCGAAGCCCCGGUAAACGGCGGCCGUAACUAUAACGGUCCUAAGGUAGCGAAAUUCCUUGUCGGGUAAGUUCCGACCUGCACGAAUGGCGUAAUGAUGGCCAGGCUGUCUCCACCCGAGACUCAGUGAAAUUGAACUCGCUGUGAAGAUGCAGUGUACCCGCGGCAAGACGGAAAGACCCCGUGAACCUUUACUAUAGCUUGACACUGAACAUUGAGCCUUGAUGUGUAGGAUAGGUGGGAGGCUUUGAAGUGUGGACGCCAGUCUGCAUGGAGCCGACCUUGAAAUACCACCCUUUAAUGUUUGAUGUUCUAACGUGGACCCGUGAUCCGGGUUGCGGACAGUGUCUGGUGGGUAGUUUGACUGGGGCGGUCUCCUCC
rnacentral:rRNA from 4 species